AGCAAUGGGGAGAACAGAAAAAGUCUAUGUCCCUCCUUCCAUUCCAGUGUUGGGGUCGAAGGAUGAGCAAAAAAUGAAUAUUUCCGGGUCCUUUGAUACACGUGUCAGGCCUUUGUGGGGAAGAGGAGAGCUUUCAACUGAUGAACAAGCAACUCACAGAGGUGACAUGAGUUGAAAACCUAAGUCGGUUCAAGGAGACUUGAGAAAAACCCAUGCGCAGAACUUCAUUCAGUCACUGGGAACAUUAACAUGAUGAGGGAAACACAAGCCACACACUUCUCCAUUUGUCCACCAUCUUCCUGGGACCUACACCUGAAUAUGGCUGGAUGGUAUAGUGUGAGCCACCUGACGUCAAAGCUGAGAGAGACAUGCCAUUUGCAGGCUAGACAUGCAUAUCACCGGUGCCAAUAUACAG